GAUGAACGCUGGCGGCGUGCCUAAUACAUGCAAGUCGAGCGAACGGACGAGAAGCUUGCUUCUCUGAUGUUAGCGGCGGACGGGUGAGUAACACGUGGAUAACCUACCUAUAAUACUGGGAUAACUUCGGGAAACCGUAGCUAAUACCGGAUAAUAUUUUGAACCGCAUGGUUCAAAAGUGAAAGACGGUCUUGCUGUCACUUAUAGAUGGAUCCGCGCUGCAUUAGCUAGUUGGUAAGGUAACGGCUUACCACGGCAACGAUGCAUAGCCGACCUGAGAGGGGGAACGGCCACACUGGAAGUGAGACACGGUCCAGACUCCUACGGGAGGCAGCAGUAGGGAAUCUUCCGCAAUGGGCGAAAGCCUGAAGGAGCAACGCCGCGUGGGUGAUGAAGGUCUUCGGAUCGUAAAACGCUGUUAUUAGGGAAGAACAUAUGUGUAAGUAACUGUGCACAUCUGGACGGUACCUAAAAAGAAAGCCACGGCUAACUACGG
rnacentral:rRNA from 1 species